rnacentral:rRNA from 1 species
GACGAACCGUGCAAACGUUAUUCGGAAUCACUGGGCUUAAAGGGCGCGUAGGCGGCUUGCCAAGUCAGGGGUGAAAUCUUUCGGCUUAACCGGAAAAGUGCCUCUGAUACUGGCAGGCUCGAGGGAGGCAGGGGCAUGUGGAACUUCCGGUGGAGCGGUGAAAUGCGUUGAUAUCGGAAGGAACGCCGGUGGCGAAAGCGGCGGACUGGACCUCUUCUGACGCUGAGGCGCGAAAGCUAGGGGAGCAAACGGG